AAGAAAAUCCCUACACUAGAGCACUUUUCUGCCUGCACUGCAGUCCUGGUCAGGGAGACGUGACCUCCAUGGCCAUAGCCCCCCCACCCUGCACACGUGUCCCCAGGGAUGGGACAUGGCCGGGACAUCCUCACUGCGACGUCCCCAGGGCGCCAGUGCCGACAUCAUCACAGUCCAUGUGCGCCGGGGGCUGUCCCGGGGGGUCCCCUGUGGCUCCGGGGGGACUUGGAGGGGGGCAGCUCCCACCUUGGGGAGAGAAAAGGCAGGUGCCUGAGGGGGACAGCUCCGUGUCCCCCCUCCAGACCCCACCUGGGGUAUUUCUGCAGCCCCCAUGGAUCUGGUGCCAGAUCCCAGCUCGCCACUGCAGCCAAACCCCUGUGGAGUGGCUCUCCAGGGGGGACAGGGCAGCUGUGGUCCCUCUUACCUGUGGGUGGGACACAGAUCCAGCCCCUCCGUGCCACUCCCUCAGAGAUGUCCCCAGUGCUGGGAGCGGGGGACUCCUCUGGCAUGGCCGUGGCAUUGUCGUAGCCAUCCAGGGUUCCAGCCAUGGCAUCAUCGUAGCCAUCCGAGGUUCCUGCUGUGGCAUCGUCAUAGCCAUCCAGGGUUCCAGCCAUGGCAUCGUUGUGGCCAUCCAGGGUUCCAGCCGUGGCAUCGUCGUGGCCAUCCAGGGUUCCAGCUGUGGCAUCGUCGUAGCCAUCCAGGGUUCUGUGCCCAGGCAGGGCAGGGGGGGCUGGGACUGGCACGGGGGUACAUGGCACUGACCCAGUGGCUGUGGCAGGGACUGGCUGUGCCAUCCCCCUCUGGCUGUGCCAUCCUCCUCUGGCCAUGCCACCCUCCUCUGGCCGUGCCACCAGCGAUGUGUUGGUGGCCCUUGGUCCCUCAGGGAAAGGUGAUGCUUCUCUGCCCACUAACGUGGGGGGACGUGUCCCCUCAGCUCCCCAGCCCUGCCGUGUCCCCUGUCCCCAGCACUCCCCGCUGGGUUCCUGCCCUGUGCCCCUACCUGGGGCUGCCCCGCUGUCACUCCCCUCCACGCUGUCCCCGGUGUAAAACAGCAGCUUCUUCACUGAGCCCUCCCGCGGGGAACCUGCAGGGGGAAAACAGGGUCUUGGGGUGGCCAGAGGUGGCACCGCGGGUGACACAGCCUCAGCCACAGAGCACGGCUG
rnacentral:lncRNA from 1 species